rnacentral:misc_RNA from 1 species
CUCAUCAAAGAAGGCUAUAUGGUGCUCAUACCCAAUGAAGAUUUUCAUUCUUUCAAUUCAAAAUUUGAGAGAAGAUUUAUUCCUGUUGGGAAAUAUGGUUUGAUUUACUCGUGUGGAUUAACCCAGAUCUAUGAGACUUAAAAUUAAUACCAAGAACAACCGCAUGAAAAGUCAUGUAUAUUGCAAAAAGGCGACAAAAAUUCAGAAGUCAUGUAAAUUGCCAAAAGGUUACAAAAUUCAAAAGUCAUGUAUAUUGGGUAAAAGAUGUAAUUAUAUGAAAAGAUCCAACUCUUCUUAAUAGUUACAUGCAUGAAGUAAUGCAACUUUUGGCCAAAAGGCUGGUACACUUUGAGUAGUAUAUAUAAAAGCCUUAUAAGUCAUUUGAAUAAGUAACAAAAGGACAAAUGAGUGUGCAUUUGUGUGUGUGCAAAUUUGGCUCGAUUCUUAAUCUUUGGAGGCUCUCAUUUUAAACAAGUUGUAGAACAAUUUGUUUUUUUAAAUAAGGUACACAUAUAAACUGUGAACUAAUCUAUGUAAUUUAUGUUAUUCACAUGAUUAUAUAGUAGGCUAGUGAAACAAAUAUGGUGGAAAUUUUAGGGUUAUAUGAAUACAGGUUAGGAUCCAUGUAGUUGAAUUCAUGUUCUGGGCCUUUAAUUUUUCUUCAAUUCCAAAGGGGGGAGAAUGGUAUGGAAGAGUUCUAACUCGAGGGCGAGCUUUUUUCAAGUGGGGGAGUAUGAUGCUGGGCAUGUUUAUUCAAACCAACAAACCACACUCCCACCUAGUUACCAGGCGUUGCCACAUGCCUAGACAGUGUGGUGUUCUGGCUAGCAGUUUGUAGAUACGCUUUUUUGGAUAAUUUGAGUUCAGCCAUCCUAGUUUGACUAGGACUUCCUGUUUUGACUACCUAAUAGCUGUGGAAUUAGUUUAGAACUAGUUUAAAGGUUUUCUUAUUAUUAGAAGGAUUGUUUAUUUAGUUUUCCUAAUCUAUUUAGGAUUAGUUUUAUUCCUAUUAAGUAGAGCUAAAUGUUAUUAAGGCAAAAGGCGACAUUAAGUCAACAGGGUACCCUAUGACUUUAGGCAAGAGUCUUUUUGAAGCAAGGUAUAUAUAACAUAAAAAUUCAUACUUUUAAAUAGUUGA